AUUUUCUUAGUAUAGCAGUACAAAUGACUUCCAAUCAUUAAGCUUUGGUUAAAGCCCAAGAGAAAAUA
rnacentral:tRNA from 1 species